rnacentral:lncRNA from 1 species
UUUCAGCUGCCUCUCUGCUGGCCUUCUCUAACCUGGCCUUUUCUAUCCGUCCUCAGUAUUUCUAGCCCCUGCAGGCCCACCUUCUCCACCAUUUCUAGAUGAUGGAACGGCAGCAACAGAAGAGAUGGCUGCAUUUGGCUCACAGGCAUAGGUUGGACUCCUGCUUCUUUGGACCUCUCCUGGGCGCCGUGCUGUGUUCCCCAUUCUCUGAGCAGUGGAGAGUGACUGGUAUCUUUUCCAUAUUCGAAAUCUCUCUCAGGCUCCAGGGCAGAAUGAAUCACGGGCUCAACCUGGAGUCAGCUCAGACACACAGCACUGUUCUCAAGCUCAAGGCUGGCCCCAGGUAGAAGUUCCAUCUCGAGAGUGCUAACGCCUCCAAGGACUCCCCCAGCCUCUGUGGGUGGGUGGAGUCACUGG